CCUACGGGAGGCUGCAGUGGGGAAUAUUGCACAAUGGGCGCAAGCCUGAUGCAGCAACGCCGCGUGAGGGACGACGGCCUUCGGGUUGUAAACCUCUUUUAGUUGGGAAGAAGCCUUCGGGUGACGGUACCUUCAGAAAAAGCACCGGCUAACUACGUGCCAGCAGCCGCGGUAAUACGUAGGGUGCAAGCGUUAUCCGGAAUUAUUGGGCGUAAAGAGCUCGUAGGCGGUUUGUCACGUCUGCUGUGAAAACUGGAGGCUCAACUUCCAGCUUGCAGUGGGUACGGGCAGACUUGAGUGCGGUAGGGGAGAUUGGAAUUCCUGGUGUAGCGGUGGAAUGCGCAGAUAUCAGGAGGAACACCGAUGGCGAAGGCAGAUCUCUGGGCCGUAACUGACGCUG
rnacentral:rRNA from 1 species